rnacentral:rRNA from 1 species
UACGGAGGUGGCAAGCGUUACUCGGAUUUAUUGGGUGUAAAGGGCAUGUAGGUGGGUUUGUAAGUCGAAUGUGAAAUACCUUCGCUUAACGAAGGAAUUGCAUUCGAAACUGCUUACCUUGAGUAUCAGAGAGGAAAGGGGAAUUCCCGGUGUAAGGGUGAAAUCUGUAGAUAUCGGGAGGAACACCAGUGGCGAAGGCGCCUUUCUGGCUGAAUACUGACACUGAAAUGCGAAAGCUACGGGAG